GGGAGUGGCAAGCGUUAUCCGGAAUUAUUGGGCAUAAAGCGUCCGCAGGCGGCCUUUCAAGUCUGCUGUUAAAGCGUGGAGCUUAACUCCAUCAUGGCAGUGGAAACUGAUUGGCUUGAGUAUGGUAGGGGCAGAGGGAAUUCCCGGUGUAGCNUGAAAUGCGUAGAUAUCGGGAAGAACACCAGUGGCGAAGGCGCUCUGCUGGGCCAUUACUGACGCUCAUGGACGAAAGCCAGGGGAGCGAA
rnacentral:rRNA from 1 species